CAUUUAAUCUUAAAAUUACUAGACCUAGGCCAAUGUUAUGAUCAGGAAUAGUAGGCUUUUUGGUACCAAGUGCAUAAGAGUUCAAAAUGACGGAUAAUUUAGACAGCAUUGAUUUUUGGAAGAACAAAUGCAAAGAGUUGGAGAAGGUUAUCAAGACAUUAUCCAAUCAUUGUUUGAAAGUGGUAGAAAAGCAUGAGGAACUUUUAGUAAACUACAAGAAAAAUCAGGAUCAGUACAGUAUUUUGCUACAGAGAUUGAAGGAAAAGGGAGAUCAAAUUAA
rnacentral:sRNA from 1 species